UACGGGGGGAGCAAGCGUUGUUCGGAUUUACUGGGCGUAAAGGGCGCGUAGGCGGUCGUGACAAGUCACUUGUGAAAUCUCCGGGCUUAACUCGGAAAGGUCAAGUGAUACUGUCGGACUAGAGUACAGAAGGGGCAACUGGGAAUUCUCGGUGUAGCCGGUGAAAUGCGUAGAUAUCGAGAGGAACACCUGCGGCGAAGGCGGGUUGCUGGGCUGAUACUGACGUGAGGCGCGAAAGCUAGGGGAGCGAACGGG
rnacentral:rRNA from 1 species